UUCCAAACAGGUAUAAAGUGCAUCAUUUCAUAUCACUGCGAUAUGAUGAUGUUAGAGAUCUCGUCAUAAAACACAACGCACUUGAGUCUUCCACAACCAUUUCACCUUCUACUGAAAUCAAAUCGGUAUCGAAUGCCAGAAGAACAGCGACAAUCCAUGAAUAUAUUUAUUAUGCACGAGAAAAAUCAUCACCAUUUGUCAGGACGGACUUUUGGAAGAUGCUCCCACACGUCUGAUAAUGUGUUUGCGUGCUCUUCCAUGGAUGCCCAUUGCUGGGAGUACUGGUCACCAAUACUGUAGUACUCAAAUCAUCAACCAAUUCCAGCUGUACAAUGCUGUGCUGUCGAGGAAGAACAAUUGCCAUGGCUGGUCUGGAUAUGUCUAAUCUCAGUCAGACGGCAUGUAACCAACAUCCGGUAGUGAUUUUGAGGUUGAAAGCUAUUGGAGAUGGAUUUGUUUGAUUGACACGAAGAAAUAUUGAAGAUAUCCGUAAGGGAAAUUGACAUAAAAUAUGACUACAAAUACUUAAUUCCAUACAAUAUAAAGUAAGUUGGGGUAGUUUACGCAUUAUAAACUGCAGAACAGUAGUGUACAAAAGAGCUUGUGGUUGUUGUUGUUUUUGUUUUACUAGAAACUGAUAAAGUUCUCUGUUGAGGUUUCCUGAAGACAAUACACAUACAAUGAUCUUGACUGUGUUCUGCAUUUCUACACCUACUGAGGCUAGUGUCCACUUUAUGGUUAAUCCUCAAGUUGCCAGCACCAUGUGUCUUUCAGACUUUGCCCUCACGAUCACUAUAUCUAAUAACCUAAGCUCAAGGAAAGAGGCCAUUAUAGGAUAUCAGGAAUGCACUUAGCGGUGUCCAAAUCUGAAAAGGAGAAAAGCGAAGUUACAGGUCAUUGAAGACGCUCUCCUUUGCUUUACGAAUAACGGGACGUGAACCGUCGGAAUGGACAUCAGUAUUUCUCCUAAUAAUGUCACAGACAAUCGGAUAGAUAUGUAAAAGAAAGGCGUAAGAUUUGGAAAACAUAGAUGUGGUUACUUCAAAGAAAUCUUUCAAGAAUGCGGAAAACUGAUUGAGAAUAUCCCACCCGUGAUCAUUUAAUAGGAGACUGGCGUAAUCUUUGUUGGUUAUUUUUUCAUCUAACUUAAUGUCAUUAAGAAUUCUGCGUUGUUCAUAUAGACGGUCAAUCAUUGAAUGUGAGGCAAAUUCCGGAUCAGAUAAUGUUUCGUAACUCCAAGUAGACCUAAAGUGACCUUCGAGUUUGCGACUUUAGGAGGGAAUUUUGAAAAAUCUUAAUGCAUGAUUGUAACGUAUUUCCGAAACACGAUAUAUUUUCCUAUUAAGGACUUAUAAUCCCUCCUUUUCCCAUGUUUUUUGUUUUGUAUUAUCGUGGAUACAGACGUCCAUGUUUUUUAAAAGGUCGAAUUCCAAUUGCUACGCAAAAGGGUAAAAGCAGAAGCCGCAAAGGCAUGCUUUGCCUUUAUCAGCAGAACUCCAUCGCAAAAUGGGCUUGCUAGAAGCAAAAUCUGAAGUUGUGGUAGCCGAGGCCGAACUAAAAGGGUUCUAUGACAAAAUCGAAAAUUUGACAACGCGGGUAUUGAGGAUAAUUGAAAACAAUUGGGCCCAGAUGUGACGGUAAAUGACAAUUUUCAUACACUCAAACCGAUCGAAUCGCUUCCCUACUCGAAACAACCUCAUAUUGAAACUGAAUAGUCAACACCCAUUCGGAUUUUCUUCAGAUCCUGCGCAUCUAACAAUGGAUAGUGAACAAGACAGUCAACCGAAAGAUUUCCGAAGUAGUUGUUGAAGAAAGAAUUAGUGAUUUCGAUUAUUUCAAAGUUUGUUGAUAGGCCUAAACCUUAUCUUUUCAAAUCUACUUUCCUUAAUGUGAUGAAUGAAAUAGGCGCCAAUGGCUCGAAGGAACUUGACUUGCUCGUAAAGUGGUUCAUUCUCUCACCAGAGGGCGCGUUACGCAAGCUUCACAUACACCUCUGUCAACGUUUGGAAUCACGUGACAAUAUAAUCAAAUGAUAUAAACAAUCAUUCUUGGUUUCCUUUCCCUUUAAAAGUUCUGGCAACAGGUGAUACAUCAGUCUCUUUUCAUAGCCCACUGGCACUUUAAUAAGUACAUAUUUACCAUUUCGCUGUUUGCCUCUUAUUUUACAAGUUUUAUCGUAUUUUUACAGCCUUUCUUACUUUUGAUUCCAUGUUUACAUUUAAAUCUCCACCACGUGAAUGUUCUACAUUCAUACGCAUAUUACGAAGUAGUUCCAAAUUUAGGAUCAGAAGAUGGCGAUUUUAAACAACUUACAGAAAGCAUCAAUUUAAUUGCACCAAAACAUUUCAUAAUAUAACUAAAUAUUUUGUGCAAAACAUAAAUGUUGCAUAUUAGAAACUUUUACAAGAUUUCUGUAAAACGAAGUCGACAGAGGUGUAGUACGAGGAGAGCACGGAACUCUGGGUAGAGAAUGAAAGUGGUUAGGUCCUGAAUCAGUUAAACAUACCCAGCGCUUAACAUUUCGAACCUGAGUAGCCCGAAACUUAACGAUCCACGAUUGGUGUACAAAAACGACAUAAAUUAUGGUGAGAGGAACCCCCAAAAAACCAGAGGAUGACAUACUAGCGAGGAAGACCCAUUUAUCGGAGAAAGAUGACAAGUCGUCAUUGAGCAGGUGUAUCAUACAUAAGGCCAGUCACUCUUUGUUUGAAUGCCGGGCAUUUAAUACAAUCGAAGGAAGAUUUUAAUGGAUAAUUGCAUAUGUUACUCUACGAAGCAUCAGAGUCACAAGUCCAGAAAAUGUACAGUGCACAGUGUACAACAGUAAGAGUCAUUUGACUGUCAUGCUCUCUGCGCAAGACACUGUGGUUGAUAAAUCCACAUGGCGGAGAGGACGAGCCUCUAACUCUGCAAUAGUUUACUAACAAGUGUACCGAGAUUUGUCAACGUGACAUUAAGAUAGUUCUCGUCACUGUGACCCAUAGUGCAUUUCCUGAGAUUCCGUACUUAUGCUAUCUUGGAUUAUCAAAGUAACCGCACAUUAGCGCAAAUGAUCUGUUUGACGCGUUUGACAUAGUUGGUGGAAUCUAGUUUUGCUGGCAAUACGCUCAAGUAGGGCAGAAGAUCUGCAGGAUUCACAGCAGAAUCACUCGAUGGUACUUACCGAUUGGAUCUGCCAACACUUAGUGUACAGAGAUACCAAAUGAUCAAUCGGGGAUAUCUAUAACGUAGCUGCAUCACAAACACUUUAGACCAAUUGCUCACGAACUACCUCCUCCUGAACAGGAGCGGCACACCAAUCUACUACUAAUCGGCAGAGAUGUGUCCGAAUCACAACAUGUACUUGAUCAUAUCAUUGGACCUUGUUCUAAACAAUUUGCCCAAAAACUUAGAAUUGGAUGGGUUUUCAUUGGAGACCUGUGUCGACAGUUUGCGUUGCGUAAAGAACUAUCAUGUGUUACAAGGUGGAAGGGACUCAAUAUUCCAACCUUGUACGAGUAAACUUGAAGUUUUUGAUGACUAUGGAUUGAGUGAAUCCUUUCAGACGAGAAAAGAUAGAUUCGCACCGACUGUUGAACAAUUCAAACAUGACAAAAAGAUCGGUUUGUCUUGUUAGGACAUACUUUUCAUUGAGUGUGAUCAGAUGCCUAGAGUAAAGUAAACAUUCCCUGUCGACUGGUCACACCCACUGUGAGCCACAUAUCUUGAUCAGCUAAAUGGAGUAAUCCGUAGUCCAAGUCAGCAUGUAAAGAACAGCCUACAAAUUGUAUGAAACACGUAAGACAGCAUUCGACUUGUGAUAACUUGUAUUUGCAAAGUAGAUCAUUAUAACGACCAUAGCAUUUGUGAAAUGCAGACUUAGUCGAGAAUGUUGAAACACCAUGUUCAUUGAAAUAAAUAAAUAAGGAGAC